rnacentral:rRNA from 1 species
GCCUACGGGACGCAGCAGUGGGGGAUAUUGCACAAUGGGGGCAACCCUGAUGCAGCGACGCCGCGUGAGCGAUGGAGUACUUCGGUAUGUAAAGCUCUGUCAGCAGGGAAGAGAAUGACGGUACCUGACCAAGAAGCCCCGGCUAAAUACGUGCCAGCAGCCGCGGUAAUACGUAGGUGGCAAGCGUUGUCCGGAUUUACUGGGUGUAAAGGGCGUGCAGCCGGAGAGACAAGUCAGAUGUGAAAUCCACGGGCUCAACCCGUGAACUGCAUUUGAAACUGUUUCCCUUGAGUGUCGGAGAGGUA